rnacentral:lncRNA from 1 species
CGUCAUCAUCUAAGAAUUUAUAUAAUUUUUAAAUUUUUCAAGUGAUGACGUGGCAUAAUUUCAGAGUGCCACAUAAUCAAACUUUUAUAUUUUUCAAUUUAAGGGACCAAAAUGAACCCAGUUGUUAAAAUUCAAGUGUCAAAGUAAACAAAAAAAUAAAUACAAGUACCAAAGUAAACCUAGUUGUCAAGUUUAGGGGUAAAAAUUUAUAUUAUCCCCUAAAUAAAUAUAUGUAUAUUGAAAUAUAAGUUAUAAAACAGGAAAUAAAUUGGUUAUUUUGCAUAUUUGUUUUAUGGUCAAUGUUUAGAGUUUGUGAUUAUCUUUAUUAACAAUGUUGUCUCUAAUGUUUGAAUAUGUGUUCUCUCAUUUAUUUAUAAAUAUCCUUAUUCAAUGGUCGAGUUAUCUGUAUGAAUAAAGUCAGAGCUAGGGGCCCCAAAAUGAGAAAUUAUCCCUUUAGUCCUUCUAAAAUUUGAAACGUUUUAAGUUAAUUCAGUAGUAAAAUUGUAUUUUGACUCAUUCUAAAAUUUAAAAAUCAAUUGCGGCCUCUCUAAGAACGAAAAUUUUAUAGUUCAUUCCCCUGAAAAAUUGUAAGAUUUUAUGUUAAUACAAAG